CUUGAAUACCUAUAAGAGGUCCAGCCUGCCCAGUGACUUUGUUCAACGGCCGCGGUAUCCUAACCGUGCGAAGGUAGCGUAAUCACUUGUCUUUUAAAUGAGGACUUGUAUGAAUGGCAUCACGAGGGUUAUACUGUCUCCUUUCUCUAAUCAGUGAAACUAAUCUUCCCGUGAAGAAGCGGGGAUAAAUAUAUAAGACGAGAAGACCCUAUGGAGCUUUAAACUUAAUAACAAAUACUAACCUUACUUCAACUUCCAGAACAUUAAUCUUAAUUUUAGUAUCAUGUUUAUUAGUUUUAGGUUGGGGUGACCGCGGAGUAAAAAUUAACCUCCAUAUUGAAUAGGACUUGUCCUUGAGCUAAGAACUACAGCCCUAAGCACCAAUAAAUUGACAUUAAUUGACCCAAUAUUUUGAUCAACGAAC
rnacentral:rRNA from 1 species